rnacentral:tRNA from 1 species
GGGGAUUUAGCUCAGUGGUAGGAGCGCUCGCCUAGCAAGCGCAAGGCCCUGAGUUCGAUCCCCAGCUCCA